rnacentral:rRNA from 1 species
UGGGGAAUAUUGGACAAUGGGCGCAAGCCUGAUCCAGCCAUGCCGCGUGUGUGAAGAAGGCCUUUUGGUUGUAAAGCACUUUAAGCGAGGAGGAGGCUACUUGGAGUAAUACUCUAGGAUAGUGGACGUUACUCGCAGAAUAAGCACCGGCUAACUCUGUGCCAGCAGCCGCGGUAAUACAGAGGGUGCGAGCGUUAAUCGGAUUUACUGGGCGUAAAGCGUGCGUAGGCGGCUUCUUAAGUCGGAUGUGAAAUCCCUGAGCUUAACUUAGGAAUUGCAUUCGAUACUGGGAAGCUAGAGUAUGGGAGAGGAUGGUAGAAUUCCAGGUGUAGCGGUGAAAUGCGUAGAGAUCUGGAGGAAUACCGAUGGCGAAGGCAGCCAUCUGGCCUAAUACUGACGCUGAGGUACGAAAGCAUGGGGAGCAAACAGG